rnacentral:snRNA from 1 species
AUCUUUGCGCUUGGGGCAAAACGAUAGCGUGUGAAGCUCUGCUGAUGCAUCGUGUUUGCGAAUUGAAAACUACUCCAAACCCUGUGCGCAGCUGAGAGAUCAGCGGCGCCAAUUUCUGUAUUCGACCCCUCUUG